AGUGAACGCUGGCGGUAGGCCUAACACAUGCAAGUCGAACGGCAGCACAGUAAGAGCUUGCUCUUACGGGUGGCGAGUGGCGGACGGGUGAGGAAUACAUCGGAAUCUACUUUUUCGUGGGGGAUAACGUAGGGAAACUUACGCUAAUACCGCAUACGACCUACGGGUGAAAUCAGGGGAUCUUCGGACCUUUCGCGAUUGAAUGAGCCGAUGUCGGAUUAGCUAGUUGGCGGGGUAAAGGCCCACCAAGGCGACGAUCCGUAGCUGGUCUGAGAGGAUGAUCAGCCACACUGGAACUGAGACACGGUCCAGACUCCUACGGGAGGCAGCAGUGGGGAAUAUUGGACAAUGGGCGAAAGCCUGAUCCAGCCAUACCGCGUGGGUGAAGAAGGCCUUCGGGUUGUAAAGCCCUUUUGUUGGGAAAGAAAAGCAGCAGGUUAAUACACCGCUGUUUUGACGGUACCCAAAGAAUAAGCACCGGCUAACUUCGUG
rnacentral:rRNA from 1 species